rfam:Kosmotoga olearia TBF 19.5.1, complete genome.
AGAGUGAGGCGGGUGGUCGCGGCGUUAGCCGAGGAAAGUCCGGACUCCUUGGGCGAGGAUGCUGGGUAACACCCAGGGGGAGUGAUCCCCGGUAAGGGCCAUAGAGAAGAAGACCGCCGUUAAGGCAAGGGUGGAACGGUGGGGUAAGAGCCCACCAGGUCCGGGGUGACCCGGAUGCUUGGCAACCCCCAUCCGGAGCAAGUCCAAGCAGAGAGGGUUUGAGGUCGCCCACCGAAUCCCUCUCGGGUAGGACGCUUGAGGGGUACGGUAACGUACCUCCCAGAUAGAUGACCACCUAAAACAGAAUCCGGCUUACGGCCUCACUCUCCAG